UACGUAGGGUCCGAGCGUUGUCCGGAAUUACUGGGCGUAAAGAGCUCGUAGGUGGUUUGUCGCGUUGUUCGUGAAAACUCACAGCUUAACUGUGGGCGUGCAGGCGAUACGGGCAGACUUGAGUACUGCAGGGGAGACUGGAAUUCCUGGUGUAGCGGUGGAAUGCGCAGAUAUCAGGAAGAACACCCGUGGCGAAGGCGGCUCUCUGGGACGGUACUGACGCUGAGACGCGAAAGCGUGGGGAGCGAACAGG
rnacentral:rRNA from 1 species